UACGAAGGGGGCUAGCGUUGUUCGGAAUCACUGGGCGUAAAGCGCACGUAGGCGGACACUUAAGUCAGAGGUGAAUCCCAAGGCUCAACCUUGGAACUGCCUUUGAUACUGGGUGUCUUGAGGUCGGAAGAGGUAAGUGGAACUGCGAGUGUAGAGGUGAAAUUCGUAGAUAUUCGCAAGAACACCAGUGGCGAAGGCGGCUUACUGGUCCGAUACUGACGCUGAGGUGCGAA
rnacentral:rRNA from 1 species